rfam:Lupinus angustifolius cultivar Tanjil chromosome LG16, whole genome shotgun sequence.
CAAUUGGUUUCUUUAGAAACCAUUAUUUAUUCAUACAACUAGACA